UCCAUACUAAAAUAAUUACUGCAGGUAUUUCAAAACAAUACAUUGAUUAUAUCUAAAGUGGAUAGAACGGACGGCGGUCAAUAUAAGUGUGUGGCGUCCAAUUAUCUUGGACGAAAAUCUUUCGAGGCGAUGGUUAACGUAUACGGUUUGACGGAAAAUGAUUGAAAUACCUUGUUUGGAGUAACACCAUGUUUUUCUUUUUUUAUUAUUAUUAUAUUAGCGAAUUUACUAUUGUAUAACGACAUAAUAUUGUAGACAAUUUAUUAUUAUUAUUAUUUUUGUGACUUGUGAA